rnacentral:rRNA from 1 species
GUGGGGAAUAUUGGACAAUGGGGGCAACCCUGAUCCAGCGACGCCGCGUGUGUGAAGAAGGCCUGCGGGUUGUAAAGCACUUUUAGUGGGGAUGAAAAGCCGAAGGCUAAUACCUUUCGGUCUUGACCUAACCCAAAGAAAAAGCACCGGCUAACUCUGUGCCAGCAGCCGCGGUAAUACAGAGGGUGCAAGCGUUAAUCGGAAUUACUGGGCGUAAAGCGUGCGUAGUCGGUUAUUCAAGUCGGGUGUGAAAGCCCCGGGCUCAACCUGGGAAUUGCAUUCGAUACUGGAUAGCUAGAGUUCGGCAGAGGGAAGCGGAAUUUCCGGUGUAGCGGUGAAAUGCGUAGAUAUCGGAAGGAACAUCAGUGGCGAAAGCGGCUUCCUGGACCAGAACUGACGAUCAGGCACGAAAGCGUGGGGAGCAAACAGGAUUAGAAACCCGUGUAGUCC